UCUGGGGCUUUGCUGGAAGGCAUGAGGUCAAGAGGCAAGAAGAUGAUGGGAAAAACAUCCUUUCUUUCUCUUCCUGUAGCAGUGAGGACUUGAGAAGGAGCAGUGAGGACUUGAGAAGAACAAGGAGCAGUGAGGACCUGAGAAGGCUGGGCCGGAAAUGAGGUUCCUAAGGAAACAUACAAAAGGAUCAGAACAGAUGAAACAAACAACUCCACAUUGCUGGGAAGGUGGCAUUCAGAGUCAAGUACUUCAUUGGUAGGGAAACUCUGCAGCUUUGUCAUCUAACUCUUCCAGACAAGAAAGUGGAAUUGAAAACUACAACAUGUUAAUGGAAGCAAGGCACCUGUUGAAGGAAAAAGAAGAUCCAUCCUUAUAGAAAUAGUUGAAGGCAACUGAGAAAAGGUGAAGCCAUUAUGAGUUGCCAGAAAGCUGUACUUGAGUUAAACAUAGGGUCACAGCUUGGGCCAAAGAGUCCUGAGAGAACAGAAGGUGUAACUGCAUUUGAAGACUAUGGCACAGGCCUGCUUGAAAACCAACUCAGCGUGGGUGACUUUGUAAAAAUACAGAAGGCCUUUGAGGCCAGACCACUUAUUUUGACAUUACCGGUUGGAAAAGCAGGAACUAAUGGACCAAAGAGGAGAAGAGAA
rnacentral:lncRNA from 1 species